AGAGUAUGAUCCUGGCUCAGAUUGAACGCUGGCGGUUUUUUUAACACAUGCAAGUCGAACGGUAACAGCAGGAGCUUGCUCUUGGCUGACGAGUGGCGGACGGGUGAGUAACGCGUGGGAAUCUACCCAAUAGUUCGGGACAACCUGGUGAAAACCAGGCUAAUACCGAAUGUGAUCUACGGAUGAAAGCAGGGGACCUUCGGGCCUUGCGCUAUUGGAUGAGCCCGCGUUAGAUUAGCUAGUUGGUGGGGUAAAGGCCUACCAAGGCGACGAUCUAUAGCUGGUCUGAGAGGACGAUCAGCCACACUGGGACUGAGACACGGCCCAGACUCCUACGGGAGGCAGCAGUGGGGAAUAUUGGACAAUGGGGGCAACCCUGAUCCAGCAAUACCGCGUGUGUGAAGAAGGCCUGCGGGUUGUAAAGCACUUUCAAUUGUGAAGAAAAGAUUAAGGUUAAUAACCUUAGUCCUUGACGUUAACUUUAGAAGAAGCACCGGCUAACUCCGUGCCAGCAGCCGCGGUAAUACGGAGGGUGCGAGCGUUAAUCGGAAUUACUGGGCGUAAAGCGUGCGUAGGCGGUUAUUUAAGUCAGAUGUGAAAGCCCAGGGCUUAACCUUGGAACUGCAUUUGAAACUGGAUAACUAGAGUUUGGUAGAGGUGAGUAGAAUUCCUAGUGUAGCGGUGAAAUGCGUAGAUAUUAGGAGGAAUACCAGUGGCGAAGGCGGCUCACUGGACCAAAACUGACGCUGAGGCACGAAAGCGUGGGGAGCAAACGGGAUUAGAUACCCCGGUAGUCCACGCCGUAAACGAUGUCAACUAGUCGUUGGGUCCUUCGGGACUUAGUGACGCAGCUAACGCGUGAAGUUGACCGCCUGGGGAGUACGGCCGCAAGGCUAAAACUCAAAUGAAUUGACGG
rnacentral:rRNA from 1 species